rnacentral:rRNA from 1 species
CCUACGGGUUGUAAAGCCCUUUUGUUGGGAAAGAAAAGCAGUCGAUUAAUACUCGGUUGUUCGGUACCCAAAGAAUAAGCACCGGCUAACUUCGUGCCAGCAGCCGCGGUAAUACGAAGGGUGCAAGCGUUACUCGGAAUUACUGGGCGUAAAGCGUGCGUAGGUGGUUGUUUAAGUCUGUUGUGAAAGCCCUGGGCUCAACCUGGGAAUUGCAGUGGAUACUGGGCGACUAGAGUGUGGUAGAGGGUAGUGGAAUUCCCGGUGUAGCAGUGAAAUGCGUAGAGAUCGGGAGGAACAUCCAUGGCGAAGGCAGCUACCUGGACCAAACUGACACUGAGGCACGAAAGCGUGGGGAGCAAACAGGAUUAGAUACCCUGGUAGUC